rnacentral:rRNA from 1 species
GACGAACGCUGGCGGCGUGCUUAACACAUGCAAGUGGAGCGACGAACCGGGCUUCGGCCCGGGGCAAAGCCGCGAACGGGUGAGUAUCACGUGGGUAACCUGCCCCGAUGACCGGGAUAACCCGAGGAAACUCGGGCUAAUACCGGAUGUGCUCUCCAUCCACCAGGGUGGAGAACAAAGGAAGCUUCGGCCUCCGCAUUGGGAUGGGCCCGCGGCCCAUUAGCUUGUUGGUGAGGUAAAGGCUCACCAAGGCCGCGAUGGGUAGCUGGUCUGAGAGGACGAUCAGCCACACUGGGACUGAGACACGGCCCAGACUCCUACGGGAGGCAGCAGUGGGGAAUCUUGCGCAAUGCGCGAAAGCGUGACGCAGCAACGCCGCGUGAGGGAAGAAGGCCUUCGGGUUGUAAACCUCUUUCAGGAGGGACGAAGGUUCAGGCGCGAACAGCGUCCUGGACUGACGGUACCUCCAGAAGAAGCCCCGGCUAACUACGUGCCAGCAGCCGCCGCAGUAA